rnacentral:lncRNA from 1 species
UUUUUUUUUUUUUUUUUUUUUUUGGCCUUUUCUAGGGCCGCACCCUUGGCAUACGGAGGUUCCCAGGCUAGAGGUCUAAUCGGAGCUGUAGCUGCCAGCCUACACCACAGCCACAGCAACACCGGAUCCUUAAACCGCUGAGCAAGGCCAGGGAUCGAACCCGAGUCCUCAUGGAUACUAGUCAAUUUGUUACCACUGAGCUGCAACGGGAACUCCUCCUCUUUACUCCUUGUGUUCAUUUCUCCCCUCGCCCUACCUCUGGCAAAAACCGAACUCUUUACUGUCUCCAUAGUAUUGCCUCUUCCAGAACGCCAUGUUGUUGAAAUCAUACAGAAUAUAGUCUUUUCAGAUGGGCUUCUUUUACUUAAUAAUAUGCUUUUAAAGUUCCUCAUGUUGUUUCUUUUUUUAUGAUUUUUAUUUUUUCCAUCAUAGCUGGUUUACAGUGUUCUGUCAUUUUUCGACGGUACAGCAAGGUGACCCAGUCACACAUAUGUAUAUACAUUCUUUAUCUUACAUUAUCAUUCUCCAUCAUAAAAGACUAGAUAUAGUUCCCAGUGCUAUACAGCAGCAUUUCAUUGCUUAUCCAUUCCAAAGGCAAUAGUCUGCAUCUAUUAACCCCAAAUUCCCAGUCCAUCCCACUCCCUCUCCCUCCCCCUUGGCAACCACACGUCUGUUCUCUGAGCCCAUGAGUUUAAGUUCUUUAUUUUAGAGGAGUCAUUAUGGUGAAUGGGCAUCGAGCCUGGAAAAUGUGUAUCAUUUUCCUUUGGGCUUUUAAAGUGACAGACUUCAUUCUUCUGUAUCGUGCACUCAGGGACUUCCCUCUGAUGCUUGAAAGAGGUGGAUGUGACAGUGAGGCAUCCCCAUGAACUUGGGAGGAAAGGAAAUAUAGUUGCCUUCCUAACUGAACUAAUAAAACCCAAAUAUCACCUACCUCUGGAACCCAACAACCAGGUAAGGAGUGUGGUUAUCAGGGAGUAGUACCAAACGGGGACUUCAGGGAAGGGGCCUUUGGCUUCGUCUUCGGUAGAGAGAUACCAAAUUUGGUCACAUGGACAAUCCAGCCACUAGGCAGAGAUUCUCGUGUGGAGUGAAGAUGUUUCACCUGGCCUCAGUGGAACCUGAAGGAAGUCGAAGGGUCCCUCAAAUGUCUGCUCGAAUCUGUGCUUAUGCAGCAACUUUCUGAUUCCUAAUUCAACCUAUAAAGCAUACCUAUAGCAGAAAGGAAGUGUCUUGAACAUCUGGAAAGAAGUGUCCCUUAUUGUUAAUCAAUAAACUGGAAUUCUAAUCUGUACAUCUGUAUUGUAUGAAUACAAUCAUUGUGAGUCUGUCAUCAAGUGCUAGGUCACCUUUGAAUAUACUGGUAAAGCCAAGUUUCUGGACAAGAAAAGCUUGUGAGGAAUGGAUUCUGAACUGUGGCAAGUUUUCCAAAGUAAUUUAUAUAUAUGCGUGUAUUUAUUUGUAUGUGGGUGUAUAUAUAUAUGUACGUAUAUACACAUAUAUGUGUGUAUGUAUUUUUUAAUUAAAAGGAGUUCCCGUCGGGGCAUAGCGGAAACGAAUCUGACUAGGAACCGUGAGGUUGCAGAUUUGAUCCCUGACCUUGCUCAGUGGGUUAAGGAUCCGGCAUUGCCAUGAGCUGGGCUGUAGGUGGCAGACUCGGCUUGGGUCUGGGUUGCUGUGGCUCUGGUGUAGGCUGGCAGCCGUAGCUCUGAUUCGACCCCUAGCCUGGGAACCUCCCUAUGCCUCGGAUAGGGCCCUAAAAACAACUAAAUAAAAUAAAAUAAAAUAAAAUAAAAUAAAAUAAAGUAAAAUAAAAAUUGGCCAAGCCUACCUCUGGCCUGCAGAAGUUCCCAGACCAGAAAUCGAACACUGGAUCCUGAACCACUAGGCCAUCAGGGAACACCUCUUAUUUAUAUUUAAAAAAACCCCUCAUGAUCAUCAGUCUUGUGGGCCGCCUCAUGUGUUCCCAUACACUCCGUCAGCAGUUUUAGGAAUAGUCUCAGUAAGCCUUUCUUGCAACAGUUAGUUGGUAAAUAAUACAGCGCGUGCAUCCACUCCAGAACUGAUGAUGAAAAUUGGUUUUAGGAAACGUGUAGAUUAGCGAUGACAAACACAGAGCGUUCUUGCUACCACUCCUCUGUCCUGUAUUCGUGACAGGCAUUACUAAUUGGUAAUAACACGCUGUCCUACUGAAGUUUGACUGACUGUAAAACUCUUCUGAAGAUGUUAGUCCGGGAAGUCACAACCGGUGGCCUCGCUUGGAUCCGUGUGAGGCCAAACUCUGCUCUUCCUCAGUUAGGUGAAUUGCUAGGGACUCUGGUUGACAAAAUCCCGCUUGAAUGGACCUAAAGGAUGGCUUAUCUUUUGAGUUUGAUGUCACGGGGAAAGCCCAUAUGCUCUUUGACCAAAAGUCCCUUGGAUAUUUGACAGAAAUCAUACCAGACUAGAUAAAUUGACGGAAAUGAUCAGAAUGGAGUUAUCUAGACCACAGACACAUUCAGAGUCGCGAUGUCAACCAGGAAAGAAUUUUCAAGGGAACUUAGAGGUCAUCGCCAGGUUUACAUCCAAGCUCUUCCUCUUACUGAGCGUGUGGCAAGUUCCUCAGCAUCUUUGAGCCUUGACAUCCUCCUGUGAAAACUCACAUCCAGCUCCUAAGUUUGAGACGACCAAGAUAGAUGACACAUGCAAAGGGUUUGCAAAUGGGGAACGUACAAAUGCUUCCUCCUCUUGUUAUAAAUAUUCGACACCAAUCAGAACUCUCUUCUCAAAUCUCUCCGGAUGCUACUUGAAUAGUUCUGGUGAAGGGAAGCUCGCAAGGCAUUCCAUACUGAGCUGCUCUAGUUCCUAAAAAGCGUGUCUUUAUUUUCUCUCCUUCUGUCUGUCUUCCUUCCUUUCUUCCUUUUUAGGGCUGCGCCCUCGGCACAAGAAAGUUCCCAGGCGAGGGGUCAAAUCGGAGCUACUAGCCGCCAGUCUACACCACAGCCACAGCAACAUGGGAUCCGCGCCGUGUUUGCGACCUACACCACAGCUCACAGCAACACCACUGAGCGAGGCUAGAGAUCGAACCCGCAUCCUCCUGGAUACGAGUUGCAUUCGUUUCCACUGCACCACAGCGGGAACUCCCAAAGUAUGUCUUUAUAUUGAUUGGAAAAUCUGCCACCCAAUGUAGCUUGCAUUUUGCCCCUCAGAACGUAGCUUUGAAAUCUUUUCCAUAUUUGAAGAGGAAUACUCUACCUUUCUAAAUCUUUUAUUUUUUCUAAGCCUAAAGGAUCAUGUGUUCAUUCAGUUGUUCCUUAGACGACACUUCCAUUAUCAUCGAGGUCGCCAUAACUUGGAUCACUUCCAAAUUUGCAGGGUUUAUUUGGCCUCUUUUUUUCUGUCACUAGUAUUAGUUCAAAGAAUAUAUAUAUAUAUAUUCCUAUAUAUAUAAAAUGUAUAAUUACAUAUAGUAUAGUAUAGGAAUAUAUAAUAUAUACUAUAUGUAAUGUGUAAUAUAUAUGUAUUCAUAUAUAUGUAAAGGAUGCAUAUUAACUAUGUUUUAUUCCUUUGCAUCAAUCUCCAUCAUAAUAUUCCCUCUGGAGCUAUGGUACAGAAUUUCUUGUUUUCCUAUCAAAUCUUUAGAAAUUAUUUAAACUUAGUAGCGAAUCAUUAGUAAUACAAUCCUUCUCAUUUCUUGGUUUCAGGGCUUGCUUGCAGACUGGCUCAGGUGUCUUGAACACAUUUUAAUGGAAACUUGUUUUUCUCACCUUUUGGGUUCACCCUCUUGGGUGUGGGACCAAGGCUUGUCACUCAGGUGUUUCUGAUUGUGGCGUUGAUUAACUGGUUGGCUCCUAAGCUGUAAUUAUCUUCCUCCUUCAAUUAAAAUCACAUUUCUAUAUUACAACACCAGAUAUUGCAAAAUCUAAUGAUACGCAUUGGAUAUUUAUUCCCUCUAAGCAACUUUCCCUGACAAUUCAUAUUUUUUUCUUCUGGGUAGUUCAACUGUUAGGUGCUGAGAAGGACAUUCUUCCCAACUAAAGAUUGAUCACUGGGCACUUUUGUGCUAUUGUUUUUUUCUGUUUUCCUUUGAUCUCACUUGCUGUCGUAUAGUGAUUAAAGUGAACUCUAUCAUUAUUUCCAGCUUAGAGAAUGUCGAGAGACUUAGGCACUAGAGGCAUAUUGAUGUGACAGCGUAAUUGGUGCCGAAUGAAAUAUUUAGGCAACGUAUGCUUUUAUUUUAAACUGUGCCAAGAUGGGCUUGAUUAAUAGCUUUAAUUGGAUUUUUUUUCCCUUUUUUCAUCCACACUGGAUCCAAGCUGCAUCUGUGACCUCCACCGCAGCUUGCAGCAACCCUGGGUCCUUUACCCACAGAGGGAGGCCAGGGAUUGGACCCACAUCCUCACGGAGACUACGUUGGGUCCUUAACCCUCUGAGUCAGCACAGGAACUCCCUUAAUUGGAUUUUACGCAGUACUUUCCCCUGAAUUUUUCAGUCAUUUGGACAAUGUGUAAACUGAGUGUGAUGUUUCUAAGCAUUGCUUCAACCACCAUGUAUUUGGCAUACCUACAUUCUGCCAGACACUGCAUUAAGUGCCAGGCAUUUAUUUCUGCAUGGCCAAUAAUACACCGCCCUGCUUCUAAGGACACACAAACUCGGCUUCUGAAAAUACAGUUCAGACGACUGUGGUUAAGGAAUAGAGGGUUCACGGAGGCUUACUCAGCAUUGGGGGAAAGCCUCCUGGGGGAGAUGGUCUUUGGUCCCCUCCUUGCCUACCCACUGCACUUGACAGCACACACUGAGAUGUCAUAGACUCGUCCAGGCUCAAAUGCUUCUUCCGCCAGAAGAGUGGCCCUGAUCCUCCUGCCCUAGCCCUGUGUAUUCUUUCCCUCUUGCGGCACCUCAUCUGCACUUUCUCUCAUAGGCAAGUCUCUUGGUACCUUAAGGUAAGGUUAUUUGCAUGUAUCCCUGGGUUUGCUCACGGUUGUUUCCGUUUACAGAGACCCAAGCAGCUGCAGUGACAACGCCGGAUCCUUAGCCUGCUGUGCCACAAGAGAACUCCACAGAAGUCUUAUUUUAGAUAGAACAUAUUGGUCAGCUAAGGGAGAACAAGUUCUAUUUUAGUCUAGGUUGCUAGGCAUGUUGAGAUUUUAGACUCAAUUUUUUUUUUUUUUUUCUGAAAAGCCAGUCUUCCCUCAGUUGCUUGAAGAGAACUCAGUUUUUUAUCCAUAGCUAUUUGGAUUGCCUGUGUACAAAGCACACUCUAAUGAUGAAUAAGAUUUUGAGGUUGCUUCUACACAUCAGUGUACACUUGAAUGUACACUUUUUUUUUCCCUUAUAAGACUUCAUAGAAAUCGUGUUACUCUAUUUUGUGAAAACAACUCCUAAUACUCUUUAGGUGGAUGGGAAAACGUCCUUAGGUUCAUCUGCUUAAAAAAAAAGUCAUGAAUUGAAAGACUGCUUAUUGAAACUGAAGAUCACUUUCUACUGAAUCAUCAGGAACAGUAUAUUGAGCAAUGUGAUUUUUAUCAAUAUGCCUUGUGAAAUUGCCAAAGUAGGAGUUGUAUGUUUUGUUUUAUUAUUAUUUUUCAAUUUUUAAUUUUUUUUUGUCUUUUGUUUUUUUUGGGCUGUACCCGCAGCAUAUGAAUGUUCCCAGGUCCGGAGUCCAAUCGGAGCUGAAGCCGCUGGCCUACGCCAGCACCACACCAACUCGGGACCGAGCCAAGGCUGCGACCUACACCACAGCUCACGGCAACACUGGAUCCUUAACCCACUGAGCAAGGCCAGGGAUCGAACCUGUAUCCUCAUGGAUACCAGUCGGAUUCAUUAACUGCUGAGCCACGAUGGGAACUCCGGGUGUUGUAUAUUUUAGAUAAAAAAUUUAUGUCUCCAAUGACUGUCAGGUAUCUUGAAGAUGUUCUGAAGAUAUUCAUAGAAUCCAUUGAAUUUCUCAGUAAAAUGCAAACAACUUCUUAAUGAGUGUUAAGAGUUCCUGAUGGAGUAAUUCCUUUAUUAAUAUUUAAAGAGAAUACGGUAAGUGGCAUUCAUUUCCGUGUGACUUAUGCAUUUAAAAAAAUAAAGUAACCAAAAUUACUAGAUUCAGAUUAAACACAGAGCAUCUUCUUAGUGCCUCCUAUGUGAUGGCCACUGCUUAGCUACUGUGCAUUAAUGGCCGUGUGUUUGCAUUCUAUAAGUUUUAUAUAUUUACUCUGAAUUUUGUAAUCUAUUGCAUAUAAAGCAUUGCAUUUACUUAGGGUUUUGCCAAAAGUUAUACUAUGCUUGUUAAAGGGAAAAAAAAAAACCCCUAAGAUUAUGAAUGAUAAUCCCCAAGAAUGUGGAAAAAAUAUGUAUAUAAAUGUAUAACUGGGUCACUUUGCUGUACAGCAGAAAUUGGCAGAACACUGUAGAUUAGCUACAAUAAAAAUCUUAAAAAAAAAAA